rnacentral:sRNA from 1 species
AUGUACCACACGUACAUUCCGGUUCCUGCGCGCCGUCCGCACCCACCUGACGACUGACCGUUAGGUGCUGUCAGUC